rnacentral:misc_RNA from 1 species
GUUGGCUCCAAAACGAUCAGGAGAAAAGAACAGAUCACUUGCAUUAAGUUCAACUAGAACUCCAGAAGGCUGUUUUAUCUUUCCAAUUGCAGCAUUGGCUCCAAUUCUUUUGCCCUCCCUUGUUCCUUGAUCUUUAUAGUGGACUUCACCUCCAUCUAACUGUCUCCCAGAAGUUCCACAGAUCGAAUGUCCAUUGCAUCCCUUGUCCUCUUCCUUUCGUCCAUCUUCAGUUGGAUUUA